UGCAGGCUUCCAACACCUGCUAACUGAGAGAAUGCAGCCAGGCUCUCACGUGAGCACUUCUUGUUAUCUCCACUAAUGCCUGAGUAAUUUUUCAGUGGACUAGGAAAACCAGAAAAAAAAUCCCUGGCAACAUUCUUCAGUGACCUAUUCAGAUCUUUAAGAGAGGCUGAAGGUUUCCUAGUACUGUGCACAAUACAAUACAACUCCAGAGCCAGAGUGGAGAACAUCCUUCAGAUCAGCACGACAAAUCUGCUCUCUUCACAGUCCAGGCAACGGUAGUGGUGGCUGCU